rnacentral:tRNA from 1 species
UGGAGUUGUGGCUCAGUGGUAGAGCUCUUGCCUGGCAUGUUUGAAGUACUGGGUUCAAUUCUCAGCACUGCAG